rnacentral:rRNA from 1 species
UACGUAGGUGGCAAGCGUUGUUCGGAAUUAUUGGGCGUAAAGGGCGCGUAGGCGGCAUGUUAAGUCGGCUGUGAAAGCCUGGGGCUCAACCCCAGAGGGUCGGCCGAUACUGGCAAGCUAGAGUACGGAAGAGGUAGCUGGAAUUCCCGGUGUAGCGGUGAAAUGCGUAGAUAUCUGGAGGAAUACCGGUGGCGAAGGCGGCAUCCUGGACCAUUACUGACGCUGAGGCGCGAAAGCUAGGGGAGCAAACGGG